rnacentral:rRNA from 1 species
UACAGAGGUCCCGAGCGUUGUUCGGAUUCAUUGGGCGUAAAGGGUGCGUAGGCGGCGGGGCAAGUCUGAUGUGAAAUCCUGGGGCUCAACCCCAGAACUGCAUUGGAUACUGCUUUGCUAGAGUACUGGAGAGGGAACUGGAAUUUACGGUGUAGCGGUGAAAUGCGUAGAUAUCGUAAGGAAGACCAGUGGCGAAGGCGGGUCUCUGGACAGUUCCUGACGCUGAGGCACGAAGGCCAGGGGAGCAAACGGG